rnacentral:rRNA from 1 species
AACGAACGCUGGCGGCAGGCCUAACACAUGCAAGUCGAACGCCCCGCAAGGGGAGUGGCAGACGGGUGAGUAACACGUGGGAACGUGCCCUAAGGUUCGGAAUAUUCCCGGGAAACUGGGAGCAAUACCGAAUGUGACCGCAAGGUGAAAGAUUUAUCGCCUUAGGAUCGGCCCGCGUCGGAUUAGCUUGUUGGUGGGGUAAAAGCCUACCAAGGCGACGAUCCGUAGCUGGUCUGAGAGGACGACCAGCCACACUGGGACUGAGACACGGCCCAGACUCCUACGGGAGGCAGCAGUGGGGAAUCUUGGACAAUGGGCGCAAGCCUGAUCCAGCCAUGCCGCGUGGAUGAUGAAGGCCUUAGGGUUGUAAAAUCCUUUCGUCAGGGACGAUAAUGACGGUACCUGAAGAAGAA